UACAGAGGUCCCAAGCGUUGUUCGGAUUCAUUGGGCGUAAAGGGUGCGUAGGCGGCGCGGUAAGUCGGGUGUGAAAUCUCGGAGCUUAACUCCGAAACUGCAUUCGAUACUGCCGUGCUUGAGGACUGGAGAGGAGACUGGAAUUUACGGUGUAGCGGUGAAAUGCGUAGAUAUCGUAAGGAAGACCAGUGGCGAAGGCGGGGCUCUGGACAGUUCCUGACGCUGAGGCACGGAGGCCAGGGGAGCAAACGGG
rnacentral:rRNA from 1 species